CAGCCGCACGCAGGCGCAGUGAGCCUCACCGGAACCCUUUCUCCCGCUCCCGCAGAACCUUUCUGGCGCUGGACGGCGCGCUAGUUAGAACGUCACUUCCGGCGGGGCCGCGGAGGCGGGAGAGUGAGGGAAAGGCUGGAAGACGAGCCUGCAGGAUGCGUCCUCAGUGAGAAGGCUGCUGCGCAAUGGCAGUUUUUGACACUCCUGAGGAGGCCUUUGGUGUUUUACGUCCGGUCUGUGUUCAGCUCACAAAGACACAGACGGUGGAGAACGUGGAGCGUCUGCAGGCACAGUUGCGAGCCGUGAGUGACUCUGCCCUUCAGGAGCUCCAGCAGUAUGUCCUCUUCCCUUUGCGAUUCACCCUGAAGACCCCGGCUCCCAAAAGAGAGCGCUUGGUCCAGAGCGUGGUGGAGUGCCUCACGUUUGUCCUCUCUUCAACAUGUGUGAAGGAACAAGAACUUCUCCGGGAGCUCUUUUCGGAACUCUCUGCUUGUCUGUAUUCGCCCAGCUCCCAAAAACCCGCAGCUGUGUCCGAGGAGUUGAAAUUGGCGGUGAUCCGGGGCCUCAGCACAUUAAUGCACUCGGCUUAUGGGGACAUCAUUCUGGCUUUUUACGAGCCCUCCAUUCUGCCUCGUUUAGGAUUUGCUGUAUCUUUACUGUUGGACCUAGCAGAACGGGAGAAAUCAAAGCAGAUUAAAAUUGCUGCCUUAAAAUGUUUACAGGUUUUACUCUUUCAGUGUGAUUGUCAAGACCAUCCGAGGUCCUUGGAUGAGCUGGAGCAAAAGCAGCUGGGGGACUUGUUUGCCUGUUUUUUACCUGGAAUCUCAAUGGCACUGACCAGGGUCAUCACAGGAGACUUCAAACAGGGGCACGGCAUUGUCGCGUCUUCUCUAAAGAUCUUUUACGAGACAGUGAGUUUCAUUAUGGCUGAUGAACAGCUUGAAAGAAUCCCACAGGUUCAACCGAAGCCUGCAGUGGAGCACAGAGUAGCAGAGCUGGUGGUUCACAGGGAAGCCAAGUGGGUAAAAAAUACCAGCGACAAAUUGACUCUCCUUAUUAAAAAGAUAAUCGAGUGUGUUUCAGUUCACCCACACUGGAAGGUGAGGCUGGCACUGAUAGAACUCGUCGAAGCCCUUCUUCUGAAGUGCAGCCAAUCACUGGUCGGAUCGGCUGGACCCCUCCUGAAGGCUUUGGUGGGUCUAGUGAAUGACGAGAGUCCUGAAGUCCAAGGCCAGUGCAAUAGAGUUCUGAGACAUUUUGCGGACCAGAAAGUAGUGGUAGGCAACAGAGCCUUCGCCGACAUCCUGUCAGAGAACCUGCACUCCCUUGCCACAUCUCUUCCCCGCCUAAUGAACUCCCAGGACGAUCAGGGCAAAUUCUCGACGCUCUCCGUGUUACUCGGUUAUCUGAAACUCUUGGGCCCCAAAGUGAACUUCGUCCUCAACUCCGCGGCCCAUCUUCAGCGCCUUUCCAAAGCGCUUGUCCAGGUUCUAGAAUUAGACGUGACUGACAUCAAAAUCGUUGAAGCGCGGCGCUGGAAUUCCGAUCAGCUGAGUGCUUCUCCGGAGACCGUGGCUGCGCAGCCAUGGAGUCAGAUGCAGAAGAGGUACUUCCGCUUCUUCACCGACGAGAGGCUCUUCCUGCUCUUGCAGCAGGUGUGUCGGCUUCUCGGCUUUUACGGGGACCUCUAUUUGCUCACAGAUCACUUUAUGGAGCUGUACCAUGAAUCUGUGGUUUACCGGAAGCAAGCUGCCAUGAUCCUGAAUGAACUGGUUGCGGGGGCUGCUGGGCUGGAGGUGGAGAAUCUUCAUGAGAAACAUAUUAAAACAAGCCCAGACGAACUGAGAGAGAUCGUGACAUCUGUACUUGAAGAAUACACAAGCCAAGAAAACUGGCAUUUGAUCACUUGUAUCGAAUCUGAAGAAGCGGGAGAGGAGCUAACAGUGAAGCAGUCAGGCCUCCGGGCCAUCACAUCUGGUGCACACACCUGCCAAGUUCCAUCUUUUCCAGCCUUCUCAAAGCCAAGUGCCACUAUUUGCUCCAUGAACGGCAACAUCUGGCAAAUAUGCAUCCAGUUGGAAGGGAUCGGGCACUUUGCGUGUGCCCUAGGAAAAGACUUUCGUUUGCUCUUGAUGUCAGCCCUCUAUCCAGUACUGGAGAAGGCUGGAGACCAAACCCUGCUCAUUAGUCAGGCAGCUACCAGUGCCAUGAUGGACAUUUGCCGUGCUUGUGGCUACGACUCUCUGCGGCACCUGAUCAAUCAAAAUUCGGACUAUUUGGUGAAUGGAAUCUCUUUAAAUCUGCGUCAUCUGUCUCUGCACCCCCAUACCCCAAAGGUCUUGGAAGUCAUGCUGUGGAACUCAGAUGCUAGCCUGCUCCCUUUGGUGGCAGAUGUGGUUCAGGAUGUCUUGGCCACUUUGGACCAGUUUUAUGAUAAGAGAGCUACUUCCUUUGUCAGUGUCCUGCAUGCCCUGCUGGCAGCAUUAGCCCAGUGGUUCCCAGACACAGGUGAUCUUGGGCAACUCCAAGAGCAAAGUGCAGGGGAGGAGGGAAGUCAUUUGAGCCAGAGACCAGCAACUCCUGAGAAAGGACUCGAGAAUACCACCACAGCAGAAGACAUUGAACAAUUUUUGCUGAGCUACCUCAGAGAAAAGGAUGUGGCGGAUGGAAAUGUCUCAGAUUUUGAUAAUGAAGAAGAGGAGCAGUCAGACCCUCCCAAAGGGGACGAGCGUGACACCGGUCCUGAUGUAGAGCCACCACUGCCAGUGCAGGUCCAAAUAGCCGCAGAUGUGAUGGAACGCUGCAUCCAUUUGUUGUCAGAUAAACAUCUGAAAAUCCGAUUGAAGGUCUUGGAUGUGCUGGAUUUGUGUGUAGUUGUUCUGCAAUCCCACAAGAACCAGCUCCUUCCCUUGGCUCACCGGGCCUGGCCCCCACUCGUGCACCGACUCACAAAUGACGACCCCCUGGCAGUGCUCAGAGCCUUCAAGGUCUUGCAGACCCUGGGAGGCAAGUGUGGCGACUUCCUACGGAGCCGUUUCUGCAAAGAUGUCCUGCCGAAGCUGGCUGGCUCCUUAGUCACCCAGGCUCCUGUCAGUGCUCGGGCUGGGCCAGUUUAUUCCCACACACUGGCCUUCAAGCUGCAGCUGGCCGUGCUGCAGGGCCUGGGCCCCCUCUGCGAGAGACUGGACCUAGGUGAGGGUGACCUGAAUAGAGUGGCUGAUGCCUGCUUGAUUUACCUCAGCGCCAAACAGCCCGUGAAAUUACAAGAGGCUGCCAGGAGAGCUACCGGCCUCCUGGGAACAUUAGGAUGAGUAAGACCCAGGAAUGGCAGACCCACCUGAUGAAGCCUAAGAUGGGCAGAGCACCCAUUUCUUUUUCAAGGGUCAGAGAUGGCUUCCUGAGGAUAUGGCUCAGCAUGGGCAAGAGAAAAGGCCCCAGGCAAGAGCUGCUCCCCUCCAACUCUCAGUUUCCAUACCUGCAAAUGCAGGCUGCUAAGCUUCCUGGAGCCCAAACCUGAUAGACUGUGAGAAGGGCAGCCAGGUGGACCCAGCUGUCUGCACUCAGUGCAGUGAUAGGAUCUGUCAGAGCUUCCUCAGGUAGGUCACCCAGGGCCCCAGGAAGGUUAGCGGUAUGGGCCCCUAACGGAUCCCAUCAUUAACUCCUCCCUUCUGCAAAGGCCCCAUCCUUCAACUGCUCCCUACCCCCUGUACCUGGAGCAGACAGCCCUGAGGGAGGAGAACUGGGUGGCUGGCCUGGGGGCAGGGAGUUGGGCCUGGUGGUGCUGAAUGAGACGCCUCUGCUAUCCCCAGCAGCCUGGCUUUCUUUUGUAUAGUGAAUUGAAAAUUCCUCCGUAGAAUUGAGGAAUAAACAUGUUUUUCAAAUAAUACAGUGUACUGAGCCUGAAGUACCUAGAAUUCAGGACAAAGUCAGGCUCGCAGUGGGGCCUGCUGGAAGUGAUCCAAUAUCUAUCUUCCCAUUCCUCUGAGUACAAGAACGCUGCUAUUCAUCUAGGCACACAGCUGUCAGAAUAAAGGCCAUGUUUUCUGGUGUCCCUUGCAGCUAGAUGCGGCCACGUGACUAAGUUCUGUCCCACGACAGGUAAACAGAAAUGAUCUUCAUCAUCAAACAAGUGUCUUUUAAAGAGAGAGUGUGUACCCUUCUCACCCUUUUUCUCAUUCCUGCUGGCUGAAAUGCAUACCCAGUGCAGGGAGGUAGGGUGGCCCUCUUGAACUGUGAUAAGAAGCCUGGCUGAAAGGAUGCUAGAGCUCAGGGUAGAAAUGCCAACUAGUUCAAAACAAGGGUUUUUGUGAAAUUUAGGGAAGGAGAAAACAGGGCUCCAAAAAACUUCCUUUGGUUAAAUAAGAUGCAGUGGGUCUAAACUUUGACCCAGCCCUUACAGGCUGUUAAUGUUUGUCAGAGGCAAAUCCAUAUUCAUUUACAGAGUGUGUGCCAUAAGCCAAGACCCGUACUAGGCAUUGGGGAUGCAGCAGUAAACAGGACACUUAAGAGUCUGUGCCCUCACAGAGCUUCAUUACCAUUCCUGGCAUUUUCUAGCUCAGUCUACAUUCGCAAGUGUUUUUAUAGUCACCUCCAGUCAAGAUGGCAUUGAGUCCGCGCUUUAAAAAUAACCUGCUCCUCAGCCAGAACCCUCACACAUUGUAGAUGGAAAUGCAAAAUGGUGCAGCCACUUUGAAAAACAGUUUGGAGAUUCCUUGUAAAGUUAAACAUACACUUAGCUCGGUGCCCAGUAAUCUCAGUCUUAGAUAAUUACCCAAGAGAAAUGAGAACAUCUCCACACAAAGACUUGUGUAUGGAUAUACAUGGAAGAUUUGUAUGUAAUAGCCUCAAACUAGAAACAACCCAAAUGUCCAUCAGUAAAAGGAUGGAUAAACAAAUUGUGAUAAAUCCACACAACAAAAUACUACUCAAAAGUACAAAGGAAUGAAGUAUUGGAAUACAGGAUAUGGAUACAUCUCAGAAUCACUAUGUUUAGUGAGAGAAGCCAAACACAAGAGUAUCUACUCUCUGAUUCAAUUUAUGUGAAGUUGUAGGAAAGGCAAAACUAUUCUACAGAUAGAAAGCAGAUCAGUGAUAACCUGGGCUGGGGUUUUGGCAAGAGGAUUGAUAGCAAAGGUGUACAAGGGAAGUUUGCAGGGGCUGGUGAUGAAAGUAUUCUUUUCUUGAUUGUAACAGUGAUUACAUGACUAUAUUUAUCAAAACUCAUUGAAUUUUUACACUUUGCAUUGAUGCUUUUUUGGACAUAAGUCAUACCUCAAUAAUGAUAUAGGAAAAAAUUAACCACACUGUCCAUGAAUUGUGGGGGAAAAAAACUUCUCUUUAUACAGUGCAAUAUAUAAAUUACAUAUAUUUUUAAAUAAAUGAAAUCACAUAGCCAUACUCACAAAUAUGGUAAACUCUUUGGAAUGGAAAGGGAUGAGAACUACAAAGUAAAUGGAGGCCAAAGCCUCAGACCUGCCAGGCCCAGGGUCCAGAAGUGACAAGGAAUUCCAGUCCUGCAGAGUAAAUGGGGACCAAAAGGAUUCUUGGAGAACUGGAGGUUUAGCAUCAGACUCAUUGCUUAAAACUGUAUGUUAGGUAACAGGGGGGACAGAUGUAGGUCUGGCAAGUGGGACCUGAGCUAAGCCACCCCAACUCAUUAACUUCGUCUGUGACAUCUCUGAUAGCCCCCCAGACUGAGAAUCCUGAGCCACCUUUAGGAAGCCUGGUUUGGGACUAGGGUCCCAAGAGUCUGGGUUUAGACAAGUACAGAAAAAGAAAAUGGAGAGAAAAAUUCCUCUUAAAAAUAAGCCUGUGAAGAAACUGACACUGAGGCAGCCAGUAAGCUCAACUCGUAACGGAUGGAUUCACUUGUGAUAAGUGCAAAUAACAGAGCAAUCUUGGAAGUGAGUUUAAGUUUAGGACUUUAAAAAAGGUAAAGGAAGGAUUGACUUCCUUUCCUGUAAAAAGGAGAAAGUUAUGAAGUAAAACAAUUGUUGAUGUGAAAAAGAAACAAUGAGAAAUACUAAAAAUGAAAAGUAUUAUUGAAGUGAAUUCAAAUGGAAUAAACUCUAAAUCAAACACAUUUGAAGAGAUAGUUAGUGAAUUGAUAGAUAGUCCUGAGUAAUUCACGUAGAUGGAGAUAAAGAAAUGGAAAAUAUGAAAGAGCCAGUUAAGACAUGGUAAACCAGGGGCACCUGGGUGGCUCAGUCGGUUGAGUGUCCAACUUUGGCUCAGGUCAUGAUCUCACGGUUUGUGAGUUCAAGCCCUGCAUUGGGCUCUGUGCUGACAGCUCAGAGCCUGGAACCUGCUUCGGAUUCUGUGUCUCCCUCUCUGCCCC